UACGUAGGUGGCGAGCGUUAUCCGGAUUUAUUGGGCGUAAAGCGUCCGCAGCCGGUUUAUUAAGUCUAAAAUUAAAGCCUGGGGGCUUAACCCCAGUUCGUUUUAGAAACUGGUAGGCUGGAGUGCAGUAGAGGCAAACGGAAUUUCUAGUGUAGCGGUAAAAUGCGUAGAUAUUAGAAGGAACACCAGUGGCGAAGGCGGUUUGCUAGGCUGUUACUGACGGUCAGGGACGAAAGCGUGGGGAGCAAAU
rnacentral:rRNA from 1 species